GUUGGUUGCAACGUUUAUUGGCACAUAUCUUAUGCAUGCAUGUUAAGGUUAAGAACAAAUCAACAAUACAUACAAUAGGUAGUUCCUGUAAUAGAGACCGUCCGGAGUUACGUCUUGGAAGUUUGGACUGCCACCAUAUUUAAUGAGGGUAUAUUUUAUUGGAUAGAGACAAACAUUUUGCCCUGUAACUGGAAACAAACAAAAGAGUUGUUGCAAUGGUUUUUAAAGUGCAGAGAGUUUGACACCCUCUCUACGCAAGGCAUCGGAUCUAACAUUCACAUUCUGACUCGCUGGACUGAGCUCGUACUUAUACAUCCAACAAAGCAAAAUCAAUGCCCAAAAUUCGGCCAGGGUUUUACUGCCGGUCGAAAAAAAACACCAAAAUGACAUUUGUGUAUUCCCAAGUCAUAUUUUGAGGUCACCGGUACAUGAUGCGAUUGGAUUAAACAUGUUUGCAAGUCAACCAUCUGCUCUGCCUAAACUAAGACAGUGACCUGUAAAACACAACAGUAUAAUAGACUUUACCAAAUUCUUUCAUAUAUAAAAAGUUUAGAACGUAUGGCUGUACCCCGCUCGUGUGGGUGCACUCGAGUCCAAUCUUGAUUCACUAGAUAUAGGGUUGUCAAUUUCC
rnacentral:lncRNA from 1 species